GUAGAUCUUGGUGGUAGUAGCAACUAUUCAAAUGAAAGAGAACUUUGAAGACUGAAGUGGGGAAAGGUUCCAUGUGAACAUCACUUGGACAUGGGUUAGUUGAUCCUAAGAGAUGGGGAAGCCUUGUAUCAAGGGUGCACUAUGCACGAGCAUCGAAAGGGAAUCGGGUUAAUAUUCCUGAAACGGGACAUGGUGGCGGACGACAACGUUAGGAAAUCCGAAGACGUUGUUGGGGGCCCCGGGAAGAGUUAUCUUUUCUUUUUAACAGCUUUCCCACCCUGAAAUCGGCUCAACUGGAGAUAAGGUCCAGUAGAUGGAAGAGCAUCGCAUGUCUUGCGGUGUCUGGUUCACCCUCGGCGGCCCUAGAAAAUCUGGAGGACCGAGUACCAUCCAUGCCCGGUCGUACUCAUAACCGCAUCAGGUCUCCAAGGUGAACAACCUCUGGUCAAUAGAACAAUGUAGGUAAGGGAAGUUGGCAAAAUGGAUCUGUAACUUCAGGAAAAGGAUUGGCUCUAAGGGCUGGGCCUAGGGGUUUGUGUCCUCAACCCGUGGGCUGUCGGUAGUCUGCCCGAGCUGCUAUCGUGGCGAGGGCGGGUAGUCACAUGUUGAUUGGGCUACGGAUGUAGAAUGUCCUCUCGUGGGGGUUUUUCCCUAGGCGAUGAACAGUUGACUCAGAACUGGUACGGACAAGGGGAAUCCAACUGUUUAAUUAAAACAAAGCAUUGCGAUGGUCCCUAUGGAUGCUGACGUAAUGUGAUUUCUACCCAGUGCUCUGAAUGUCAAAGUGAAGAAAUUCAACCAAGCGCGGGUAAAUGGCAGGAGUAACUAUGACUCUCUUAAGGUAGCCAAAUGCCUCAUCAUCUAAUUAGUGACGCACAUGAAUGGGUUAACGAGAUUCCCACUGACCCUAUCUACUAUCUAGUGAAACCACAGCCAAGGGAAUGGGCUUGGAAAAAUCAGCGGGGAAAGAAGACCCUGUUGAGCUUGACUCUAGUCCGACUUUGUGAAAUGACUUGAGAGGUGUAGAAUAAGUGGGAGCCAUUUUUGGUGCAAGUGAAAUACCACUACUUUUAACGUUAUUUUACUUAUUCUGUGGGGUAGAGAUGGGGCAUUGCCCCUAUUUUUGGCCUUAAGACACGUUUCGACGGGUCGAUCCAGGAAAAAGACAUUGUCAAGUGGGGAGUUUGGCUGGGGCGGAACAUCUGUUAAAAGAUAGCGUAGGUGUCCUAAGAUGAGCUCAACGAGAACAUAAAUCUCAUGUGGAACAAAAGGGUAAAAGCUCAUUUGAUUUUGAUUUUCAGUACGAAUACAAACUGUGAAAGCGUGGCCUAUCGAUCCUUUAGACUUUCGGAAUUUGAAUCUAGAGGUGUUAGAAAAGUUACCACAGGGAUAACUAGCUUGUGGCAGCCAAGCGUUCAUAUCGUCGUUGCUUUUUUAUCCUUCAAUGUCGGCUCUUCCUAUCAUUGUGAAGAAGAAUUCACCAAGUGUUGGAUUGUUCACCCACCAAUAGGGAACGUGAGCUGGGUUUAGACUGUCGUGAUACAGGUUAGUUUUACCCUACUGAUGAACUACACCGUAAUAGUAAUUCAACUUAGUACGAGAGGAACUGUUGAUUCACACAAUUGGUCAUCGCACUUGGUUGAAAAGCCAGUGGCAUGAAGCUACCGUGUGUUGGAUUAUGACUGAAUGCCUCUAAGUCAGAAUCCAUGCUAGAAGCAAUGCUUGUCACUCCUCGACUGUAUCUUGACCUGCAGUAGGGGUGUCUCUUCGACACCCCCAGGGGCCCGUGUCACUUGCGAACCUCGGUCGGGAAGCGUCUCGGUCGAGGCAGCUUUGAAGUUCAAUUUUAAACGGUCGUUGAGAAGAAUCCUUUGCAGACAACUUAAAUAUGCGACGGGGUAUUGUAAGUGGCAGAGUGGCCUUGUUGCCAUGAUCCACUAAGAUUCAUCCCUUUGUCGCCUCGAUUCAGAGCCUAUGCUCAUA
rnacentral:rRNA from 1 species